CUCAUUUCCAAAAAUUCUUCAUUAGGAAUAAGACACUGAAAGUAAUGAAACCCAAACUGGAACUGUGUGAAAAUAAUCAAGGAAGUCAAUUACUAUGAUUCUUUUUCUUUCUCCUAGGAAAAAAUUUUAAGAUUGAAUUUCUCCUGGAUAACGUGGCUCGGGUAGAAUCCAGAACUUUCAGCCUGCUGGCACAGCUUGUCCCUGGUGGUAGUGGCAGCAGCACUAGCAGUGGUGGCAGUGGCAGCAGCAGUAGCAGCAGCAGCACAAUGUCAGCUAUGGCUACAUCUGCUCAGCUCUUGACAACAGUCAUUAGCUUUCUGAUGGGACGAAUGUUAUUCUUGGAAAUAUUUAUGGCUUCAGUUUUUAUUUGAAUGUAACUGUAGGUAGGUACAGUUCAUUUUUUAUGUAAGAUAUGUCUCCACAUAUGCAGAUACCAGUAAAUGUUUCCCAAGUAAAGGUCAUGUGCUCAGUACUUCUGCAUAGCAUCACUGGGACACAGAGAGGAUUAAGACCUUUGGUGGCAGAGACUAGGCAGCCCUACUGGAAAUGUUAUUCACAUUAUGCAUUGCUACAAAAGAACAUAGGAAAUGAAAACCACAGGUAAUGUCACCACUCCUUUUCAAUAGCAAGGGGCAGACAUUCAGCUUGAGAUGGUUCAGGCAGUGAACAGAUCACCUGAUGAACAUCCCAGAAGUAGUCUGGUUUCUGCCAAGGACUCAGGCAAUGCCAUCCAGAACCUGUGCUCUCUAUAUUUUGUCUUUAUUCUCCUAGUGGCAGCUUCACUUCUAGGCCAACUCCUUUCCCCAGUCCUCAUGGCAAAAGUACUCACCAACAGGUUUACUUUCUACCAGUCCAGCAGCCAAUGCAGAAAGAACAAACUUCUUUCCAAAAGAUCCAGCAAAAAUCCCCCAGUUGUGCCAUUGACCUGGCUUAGGACACAUGCUUGGGACACUGAUCCUAUCAUUGCGGCCACAGGAUUUAAUUAGCUUAGCCUGGAUCACAUGGGAUAAGGUUCUGAGAAUGGUGGAAUUCAGAUGCCAGUACAAUAUGUAGAAAACAGUGAUAGUGAAUAUUAGGGAGAUUAGUAGGAGGGAAAGGGGGAAAGGUCCCUAAUGGCUACAGUGAUUACAGAAGAUUGUAAAUGUCACUCCAUCAGUAACACAUGAAAGUUGGUACUGUUGUAUAAAAUGUAAAAGAUCUGGAGAGAGAGGAAAAAGGCACUCAAGAAUAGGGCUAUGGUAGAAGUAAAGAAAGAAGUGAGAGGCAAAAAAUAAAUAAAUAAAUAAAGGCAUCUUUAAUUACACCUGCUCCACACUGAAUUCCUUUUUUUUCCCCCAAACAUAUUUCUCCUCCUGUCACUCUGUCUCAGUUAAUGACAAUGCCAUCUUUUCUGAUCCUUCAGUUUGAUACUUCUUAGACUUUCCCUUUCCACAAGCUCCACGUCUCAAGUGGUCUUAGUGCUAUCUAUAUCCAACCAAGUGGCUCAUCUCUGUUCCUCAUUUAAAGUCACUGCUAGACUUAUGAUUUUACUUCUCACUUUACCUAUUAUAACAGUCUCCUGCAUUCUUUGCUUACAGUCCCCCACACUUUCAUUCUGUCUUCUACAUUUGUAUUGGAUUUAGGUUCCUAAAUAAGCACAAGAUCUGUAACUAUAAUGGUAAAUUCAAGAUCAUGUAGCUAUAAUGGUAUUCUUGAAUCCUCAAAGAUUCAUCAUUACAUGCAAAAUCAAUACCAAAAGCUCCAAAAUCAGUUUUGAAGUCUGCCUUCUUUUUCCAAAUCAUUCCUAGAAAAGAUUCUUUUCAUUCUGCAUGUUCCCUCUGCCUGGGCUAUGUCCUGCUUGUCCAGUCUACCUCUCCAAGCACCCUCUAGGUUCUGCUCAAUCUCCACUUUUACUACCAAGUUUCCCUUAUCAUUUCCCUUUCUACAAAAUAUUUAGUUACCCUCUCCUUAGGUAUCUGUUUUUAUCUUUAUUAUAGUCCUUCCUGUAGUGUACUUGUAUUAAACUUUUAUGCAAACCUAUCUUUGUCACUCAAUUAUGAGAAUUUAGAAGACCACAUGCUCUACAUGCUAUAGGUACUAAAAAUAUGGUUUAGUUGACUGUAACUCUUAAAAGAACAUCAAGUCCUCACCUCUGACUUAGGGGGAAAUGUUGGGUAGUAUAGGCAAAUUGUAAAGAAUAUUGAUUGGCAGAUGUUAAUCAGUUUGCAGUUGAUUUCAUAGAGAAAAAUUUCCAACAAUUAAUGAAAUAAAAGCUUCACAUAAGAAAUAUUAACAAGGUCAAGGAAGGACAUGGGGUAGAGUAGGAAGGACACUGAAGUACUUCAGGUAAUAAAAGCCAAGGCUAGAUUUUAAAUUUAAAUAUAAGGGAGGCAGGAUAAGGGCAUUCAAUAAGGCUGGUUUGGGGCUUAACAAAACAAAAUGGAGGCUGAAACCAACCACAGGGGCUCCAGGAACAGCCCUAAUACAAGAAGGAGAAAAUCCUGGCUUCCCUUCGAGGGCAGAAGCUAAUUAGGAUCCAGCUGUCAAGGGAAAAGUGUGUUUUGCAGAGACCAGGUCCUGUCUUCUCAUAGCUGAAAACAGAAGAGCAUGGUGGGGCAGGGAGCAGGGUAGGGUAGGGGUGUAGAAACCUGGAGCUGAGGGAAAACAGGCAAAUGACCAAUAAAUUAUUCUUAUGCUCAUUUUCUUGUCUCCAGAAUUAUAAUAAAAGGUCACUUCUUCAUUUUAUAAUAGUAGAACAGAUAUUGCUUAAAUUCAUUUUCUUUUUCUCCUCAAAGCAUUGAAAUGCAAGGUCUGCUUGGUGACAUGUGUUAAGUACUGCUUUAUAUAUACUAGUGCACUUUGUCUUUCCUCAUUAAAUGCAUUGUUUUCCAGUUAUCUUCCCUAACUUUAAUUCUGCUUGAUCCCGACAAUGUUUGUAGUUUACCAAAUAAGAAAAUUCUAUUUUCAAAUCAUUAGUAAAUUAUAAGAGUUUCUGAGUCUUUUUUAAAUAGUUUUUUUAGUUGCAGUUGGACACAAUACCUUUAUUUUAUUUAUUUAUUUUUAUGUGGUGCUGAGGAUUGAACCUAGAGCCUUGCACGUGCUAGGCAAGGGCUCUACCACUGAGCCCCAGCCCCAGCCCAAGUUUCUGAGUCUUUUCAGGACUUUUUACAAAUCAAAUAGUUAACUUCUUUGCUGCUAAAUACAUAGCCAUUUUUAAAUUAAGACAAAAUUACUUAAACACCUUUAAUGCAUUGAAAUGAUGGGUUAUUUCAUAACUUUGCAUUCUGACUUAACAAUACUAUUGGUUGAAUCAUGACAUUUUGCUAAUAAAAUGGCAAAGCUUGACUUAAAAAAAUGUAAGUACCACAAUUUUCUCUACAUUUCUACCAUAUAUAUAUAUAUAUAUUAAUUCUAGCAUAAAAUUGAUAAAACUUGAAAUGCUACAUCUUUAUACAAUGUGAUUUUUUCCAUAUUUUUUAUUGUUGCAUAAUAGUUGUAUAUAAUAGAUUUGUUGUUAUAUAUUCAUACAUACACAUGAUAUAAAAAUAAAAUUUAGCAAAUAUCAUUCCCCAGUAUUUCUCUUUUCUUUCCUUUUCCCUCUUUCCUUGCCCUGAAUUCUUUCCUCUACCUUACUGAUAUCCCUUGAUUUUUCAUGAUUCUCUACUUUUUCCUUUUUAUUCUCUAGCUCCCACAUACAUGAGAAAACAUAUGACCCUUGAUCUUCUGAGUUUGACUUAUUUUACUUAACAUAAUAGUCUCAAAUUUCAUCCAUUUUCCUGCAAGUGACAUAAUUUCAUUUUUCUUUAUGGCUGAAUAAAAUUCCAUUGUGUAUAUAUACUACAUUUCUUUACUCAUUCAUUCACUGAUGGACCCCUAGACUGGUUUCAUAGUUUGGCUAUUGUGAAUUGUAUUGCUACAAACAUGGGUAUGUAUGUAUUGCUAUAGUGUGAUGAUUUUAGUUUUUAGGAUAAACACUGAGGAGUGGUAUAGCUAUGUCAUAUGCUGUUUCCAUUCCUGGUUUAUUGAAGAACCUCCAUACUGAUGAAAUACUAACUUUUGAACAUUACUUUUGCCAUUAUUUUUGCCCCAUCAACCUAUUUUAAAGUUAAAAUUAAUCAAACAGUUUAAAUCAUAUUGUAUGUUAUUACUGCUUUUUAAAAUUAUUUUGUAUUAUUUUCAUUUUUUUCAGGAAGCAACUAUAGUAGUGUUCCAAAGCACAAGCUGAAAACAAAAAUACAAGAAUUGCUUGCUCAUGAGCUAUUUUGGUGCACAACAUGAAAAAGCCUAUAACAUUUUCAAAAACAUAUGCUAAUGUAUUUUUAUAAUACAUAAAAUGGAAUAGCUUUAAUUACAAAAAUCAGAUUUCUCCUAAAUAUACAUUUCUUUUGAUUCCUUAUA
rnacentral:lncRNA from 1 species